CACGGUGAACAGUAUAACUCGGGAGCUUUCCCCCCCCCCCAGCGCCACUUCUUUUUUCUUGAAGUUUAGGCCUAACGUUAAACGAGCGCCCUUUCUAACCCUCUAUACUUAAAGAGGGUAGAUCAGAAGAGCA